UACGGGGGAGCAAGCGUUGUUCGGAUUUACUGGGCGUAAAGGGCGCGUAGGCGGCGCAACAAGUCACUUGUGAAAUCUCCGGGCUUAACCCGGAGCGGUCAAGUGAUACUGUCGUGCUAGAGUGCGGAAGGGCUACGUGGAAGUUCUCGGUGUAGCGGUGAAAUGCGUAGAUAUCGAGAGGAACACCUGCGGCGAAGGCGG
rnacentral:rRNA from 1 species